GAUGAAGAACGCAGCGAAAUGCGAUAAGUAGUGUGAAUUGCAGAAUUCAGUGAAUCAUCGAAUCUUUGAACGCACAUUGCGCCCCUUGGUAUUCCAUGGGGCAUGCCUGUUCGAGCGUCAUUUGUACCUUCAAGCUUUGCUUGGUGUUGGGCGUCUUGUCUCUAGCUUUGCUGGAGACUCGCCUUAAAGUAAUUGGCAGCCGGCCUACUGGUUUCGGAGCGCAGCACAAGUCGCACUCUCUAUCAGCAAAGGUCUAGCAUCCAUUAAGCCUUUUUUUCAACUUUUGACCUCGGAUCAGGUAGGGAUACCCGCUGAACUUAAGCAUAUCAAUAAGCGGAGGA
rnacentral:misc_RNA from 1 species